UGCGGCUCCUGCCUGAUACUCUAGAAGACUCAAAUGAGAGAACUAGGCCACCGCGGAAUCAUUGUGGCUGCCCUGAGGCCACUAUACUGUGAGGAAGCUCAAACUAUCCCAUGCAGAGACUCACAUGGAGAAUACCUGAAACUACAUAAAGAGACAGAGAUACCAGUUAGCCAGCCCUCAUCCGACUGCACCUCAUUAGCGACCCCCAACUGGAAACACCAGCCAACCUCUCCAAAUUCUGAAAGAACAAAAAAUGGAGGGAUAUCUCUGGGAGUAGCCUUCCAUGUACAUCCUCACAUACGAAGGAAAGCAAAGCACUAUUGGGAGAGGAGUUGGGGCCAGAGGCAGAGCUGCACCAACGUACGCUGUACCUAUCAAACCGCGCCCUCAGAAGGCACACCCCUGUGAAGCAGGUUCUCCGGAUAUUACUUAUCUUGAACUGCCAGCAUAGUCUCGUCUGUGUGAUGUGCGUGACAGUGAGGAAUAGCUUUUUGCUGCACUGCCCAACUUUCGGGGUAAAAUAAAUACAUACAUGCAUACGUGAAUGAAAGCA
rnacentral:lncRNA from 1 species